CUGUACAACCUCCUAGCUUUCCU
rnacentral:miRNA from 10 species